AACGUAGGAGACAAACGUUAUCCGGAGUUACUGGGCGUAAAGGGCGUGUAGGCGGUUAGUUAAGUCUGGCGUGAAAGCUCCCGGCUAAACCGGGAGAGGUCGUUGGAUACUGGCUGACUAGAGGACGGUAGAGGCGUGUGGAAUUCCGGGUGUAGUGGUGAAAUGCGUAGAGAUCCGGAGGAACACCAGUGGCGAAGGCGACACGCUGGGCCGUACCUGACGCUAAAGCGCGACAGCAUGGGGAGCAAACGGG
rnacentral:rRNA from 1 species